rnacentral:lncRNA from 1 species
AUGCUUUCUUACCCUGGCAGUGCAGGGCUUGUGGUAAGCAAGGAAAAGAGGAAAGGUGGAACAACACUCCAGAGCUUUGGUUAUUGGUGCAAUGGUAGCCUGACAUCAGCUGAGCGUGCCAUAGCAAGCACCCUCAGUAAUUCCCUUCCUUCCUCAGCAGCCAAGAGAGCAGCCUACAUAUCUGAGUCACUGCUUCACAUCCUGCCUUGCUUCAGCACUUCCUUAUUUAGAGCAGAGGCUCCUCAGAGCAGCAGACUGAACUUCCAGCCACUUCAAACAGGACAGCGAGAAAUCCCACCAGAGACAAAAGGAGCAACUGGAGCACCUGGUGAAGUCAGUGACGUGGAAGGAUUCCUUAAGGGCCAGCAAACCUCAGAAAUGAAAUGGGAGACUCUCUGGAUGUUUGCUUGCUUGCUGAUUACAUCUCUACCUGGAGGUCACUCAGAUAUGACACGCCAUGCAUUUGUGGGAGAAACUGUUGUGCUGCCUUGCACCAGCACCUCUCCUGGAGAGCUGAACAUUUCCCAUUUGAUGCUCUACUGGCAGAAAGAGGAUGACGUAGUGCAUUUCCUUCAUGGAGGGCACAAUGAUCUGACAUGUCAAGAUAAGCAUUACCAUGGCAGAACCAGUCUUUUUUUGAACGAGGUGAAGCAUGGCAACUUUUCCUUAAAGCUCUCCAAUGUCCAGCUACAGGAUGAAGCUGUGUAUAGUUGCAUCUACAGACAAGAUGGUCAUCAAACACAGAAAACUAAAAUUAAGCUCAAUGUAUCAGAUCCACCUAGCACUGGGGAAGAUCAUUGGUCUACUGGACACACUCAGAUUUCCUCAAGAAGUGCUGGUGAUACACCACUUCUGGAUAUACUUCUCCUCUCUUUUCAUCUUCCAGUGGCACUGGGGGUUUGGCACCUCUAA